GGAAUCUUCCACAAUGGACGAAAGUCUGAUGGAGCAACGCCGCGUGAGUGAAGAAGGGUUUCGGCCCGUAAAACUCUGUUGUUAAAGAAGAACAUAUCUGAGAGUAACUGUUCAGGUAUUGACGGUAUUUAACCAGAAAGCCACGGCUAACUACGUGCCAG
rnacentral:rRNA from 1 species